rnacentral:misc_RNA from 1 species
UUUCCAUAGGUGAACCUGUGGAAGGAUCAUUGUCGUGACCCUGACCAAAACAGACCGCACACGGCAGCGUUCGUUGCUCGGCCAAGACCUCGACCGCCUCCCCUCCCAGGAGUGGGUGCUCGGGGUAAAAGAACCCAUGGCGCCGAAGGGGUCAAGGAACACUGUGCCUAACCCAGGGGCAUGGCUAGCUUGCUAGUCGUCCCUCGUGUUGCAAAGCUAUUUAAUCCACACGACUCUCAGCAACGGAUAUCUCGGCUCUC